GACGAACGCUGGCGGCGUGCCUAAUACAUGCAAGUAGAACGCUGAAGAGAGGAGCUUGCUCUUCUUGGAUGAGUUGCGCACGGGUGAGUAACGCGUAGGUAACCUGCCUUGUAGCGGGGGAUAACUAUUGGAAACGAUAGCUAAUACCGCAUAACAAUGGAUGACCCAUGUCAUUUAUUUGAAAGGGGCAAAUGCUCCACUACAAGAUGGACCUGCGUUGUAUUAGCUAGUAGGUGAGGUAACGGCGCACCUAGGCGAGGAUACAUAGCAGACCUGAGAGGGUGAUCGGCCACACUGAGACGGAGACACGGCACAGACUCCUACGGGAGGCAGCAGUAGGGAAUCUGCGGCAAUGGGGGCAACCCUGACCGAGCAACGCCGCGUGAGGGAAGAAGGUUUUCGGAUCGUAAAGCUCUGUUGUAAGUCAAGAACGAGUGUGAGAGUGGAAAGUUCACACUGUGACGGUAGCUUACCAGAAAGGGACGGCUAACUACGUG
rnacentral:rRNA from 1 species